CCUACGGGCGGCAGCAGUGGGGAAUAUUGGACAAUGGGGGGAACCCUGAUCCAGCCAUGCCGCGUGUGUGAAGAAGGCCCUCGGGUUGUAAAGCACUUUCAGUGAGGAAGAACGCCUGGUGGUUAAUACCCAUCAGGAAAGACAUCACUCACAGAAGAAGCACCGGCUAACUCCGUGCCAGCAGCCGCGGUAAUACGGAGGGUGCGAGCGUUAAUCGGAAUUACUGGGCGUAAAGCGCGCGUAGGUGGCUUGAUAAGCCGGUUGUGAAAGCCCCGGGCUCAACCUGGGAACGGCAUCCGGAACUGUCAAGCUAGAGUGCAGGAGAGGAAGGUAGAAUUCCCGGUGUAGCGGUGAAAUGCGUAGAGACCGGGAGGAAUACCAGUGGCGAAGGCGGCCUUCUGGACUGACACUGACACUGAGGUGCGAAAGCGUGGGUAGCAAACAGGAUUAGAUACCCCUGUAGUC
rnacentral:rRNA from 1 species